rnacentral:rRNA from 1 species
GACGAACGCUGGCGGCGUGCCUAAUACAUGCAAGUCGAACGAGAGCGACCGGUGCUUGCACUGGUCAAUCUAGUGGCGAACGGGUGAGUAACACGUGGGUAACCUGCCCAUCAGAGGGGGAUAACAUCCGGAAACGGAUGCUAAAACCGCAUAGGUCUUCGAACCGCAUGGUUUGAAGAGGAAAAGAGGCGCAAGCUUCUGCUGAUGGAUGGACCCGCGGUGCAUUAGCUAGUUGGUGAGGUAACGGCUCACCAAGGCCGUGAUGCAUAGCCGACCUGAGAGGGUGAUCGGCCACAUUGGGACUGAGACACGGCCCAAACUCCUACGGGAGGCAGCAGUAGGGAAUCUUCCGCAAUGGACGCAAGUCUGACGGAGCAACGCCGCGUGAGUGAAGAAGGUUUUCGGAUCGUAAAACCCUGUUGUUAGAGAAGAACAAGUGCUAGAGUAACUGUUAGCGCCUUGACGGUAUCUAACCAGAAAGCCACGGCUAACUACGUG